rnacentral:snRNA from 1 species
GUGCUCAUUUAGACAGCACAUAUACAAAAAUUGGAAUGACACAAAGAAGAUUAGCAUGGCUCCUGUGCAAGAAUGACACACAAAUUCAGGAAGCACUCCUUAUUUUA